rnacentral:rRNA from 1 species
UGGGGAAUUUUGCACAAUGGGGGAAACCCUGAUACAGCGACGCCGCGUGAUUUAGAAGGCCUUCGGGUUGUAAAAAUCUUUUCUAUGGGAAGAAAAUGACAGUACCAUAGGAAUAAGGACCGGCUAAUUACGUGCCAGCAGCCGCGGUAAUACGUAAGGUCCGAGCGUUGUCCGGAAUCAUUGGGCGUAAAGGGUACGUAGGCGGGUAAGCAAGUUAGAAGUGAAAUCCUAUAGCUCAACUAUAGUAAGCUUUUAAAACUGCUCAUCUUGAGGUAUGGAAGGGAAAGUGGAAUUCCUAGUGUAGCGGUGAAAUGCGCAGAUAUUAGGAGGAAUACCGGUGGCGAAGGCGACUUUCUGGCCAUAACCUGACGCUGAGGUACGAAAGCGUGGGUAGCAAACAGG